rnacentral:misc_RNA from 1 species
UCUGAGCGGUGGAAUCCGAAGGGGUCUCGAGGUAGACGAGAUUCGCGGCGGUGCGAAUCGGGGCGGAGGUGAAAGGGUCGGCGGAAGAGAGGGAAUAGACCAAUAAAACGACGAGAAGCAUACAGAUUGAAACCGGAGACAUGACGCCGAUGAUCUCCACGCCGAUCGUCUCUAGUAUGCUCGAUUCCAUGGCGGUGGAUUCCGGCGACGGCGAGCAGUUGGGAUAAAAUCAGAGAUUCUGAGUUUCG